GGGUGCGAUCAUACCAGCGUUAAUGCACCGGAUCCCCUCAGAACUCCGUAGUUAAGCGCACUUGGGCUAGAGUAGUACUGGGAUGGGUGACCUCCCAGGAGGUCUUGGUGUUGCACCCU
rfam:Picea glauca, whole genome shotgun sequence.